GAGUUUGAUCCUGGCUCAGAUUGAACGCUGGCGGCAGGCCUAACACAUGCAAGUCGAGCGGUAGAGAGAAGCUUGCUUCUCUUGAGAGCGGCGGACGGGUGAGUAAUGCCUAGGAAUCUGCCUGGUAGUGGGGGAUAACGCUCGGAAACGGACGCUAAUACCGCAUACGUCCUACGGGAGAAAGCAGGGGACCUUCGGGCCUUGCGCUAUCAGAUGAGCCUAGGUCGGAUUAGCUAGUUGGUGAGGUAAUGGCUCACCAAGGCGACGAUCCGUAACUGGUCUGAGAGGAUGAUCAGUCACACUGGAACUGAGACACGGUCCAGACUCCUACGGGAGGCAGCAGUGGGGAAUAUUGGACAAUGGGCGAAAGCCUGAUCCAGCCAUGCCGCGUGUGUGAAGAAGGUCUUCGGAUUGUAAAGCACUUUAAGUUGGGAGGAGGGGCAGUAAAUUAAUAACUUUGCUGUUUUGACGUUACCGACAGAAUAAGCACCGGCUAACUCUGUGCCAGCCGCCG
rnacentral:rRNA from 1 species